rnacentral:rRNA from 1 species
UACGGGGGAGCAAGCGUUGUUCGGAUUUACUGGGCGUAAAGGCGCGUAGGCGGCCACUGCAAGUCGGUUGUGAAAUCUCCGGCUUAACCCGGAAAGGUCAAUCGAUACUGCAGGGCUAGAGUGCAGAAGGGGCAACUGGAAUUCUCGGUGUAGCGGUGAAAUGCGUAGAUAUCGAGAGGAACACCUGCGGCGAAGGCGGGUUGCUGGGCUGACACUGACGCUGAAGCGCGAAAGCUAGGGAGCGAACGG